rnacentral:rRNA from 1 species
UACGUAGGCAGCAAGCGUUGUUCGGAGUUACUGGGCGUAAAGAGUAUGUAGGCGGUUGCGUAAGUUCGGUGUGAAAUCUCCCGGCUUAACUGGGAGGGUGCGCCGAAAACUGCGUGGCUUGAGUGCGGGAGAGGUGAGCGGAAUUCCUGGUGUAGCGGUGAAAUGCGUAGAUAUCAGGAGGAACACCGGCGGUGUAGACGGCUCUCUGGACCGUAACUGACGCUGAGAUACGAAAGCGUGGGUAGCAAACAGG